UGCUUUACAAUUGCCUUCCCAGGUUAGCAUAACUCACUUCCUUAUUGGAAAGCACUGAACCAAGCAGGCCUAUGCACCAAAGAAGUUCUCAGUCACGUACUCAAUGCCAACUAGGCUUAAAAUCCACCAGGAAAGCAUACGUUAUUUAAGUAACUGUGGGAAAACGACAGAAGCAAGGGAGGGAGCAAGCAGAUGCUUUCUUUACACAGCUGCGGAUAGACUCCCACCGCCGCCGUCCCCGCGCCCGGGAAUAAACGGGUUUGCGUCUCCCACUCCGUCUGUACUGCAGUAUUUCUGGCCUUGGGUGGGCAGCGGCAACUUUCCCCAAUUACACUAACUCCUCCUCCUCAAGGCCUGGGCAGGGCCAGCCAGCCUCUGACUCUGGGAUGAACACACCCACGCAACAAAACAACUGCCAGAGACCCUGUUAAUCUACUGACCCGUCUCCCCAUCAGCCAAGUCCUCCUCGCCUUCCUUAUUACAAAACCCCCGCACACACACCUACACACUCUGGCAGGGUCUGUGUGUGUGUAUGUGUCAAUGAGUGGGAGGUGAACGGCAGUGUGUGUGACUGGGUGUGACUGAGUGAGAAAACACUAAGUUUGUUUUAAAGCGGGCAUUGGAGCUUUGUGUGUGUGUGUGUGUGUGUGUGUGUGUGUGUGUGUGUGUGUGUGUGUGUGUGUGUGUGUGUGUGUGUGUGUGUGUGUGUGUGUGUGUGUGUGUGUGUGUGUGUGUGUGUGUGUGUGUGUGUGUGUGUUCUUGCGUGUUUGUGUCUGUGUUUGUGUUCAUGGUGCAAAAGGGACUGAGGGCAUAUGCACCAUAUGUCUAUGAGUGUGAUAUAUGUGACGGAAUUGUAGGGAAUUUUUGUGCUUGCAAGCAGCACAUCUGUGGGAGUGUGUAGGUCUCAGUUUAUGUGUGUAAUGUGUGCAAGCGUGGGCAGGUAUGUACGUACACAGAAGUGUUGUUAUGUAUGUGUGUGUGGGUAGAUGACUGGUUCACAUGGGUGUUUAGUGAAGGGUGUGAAUGUCUUUGCGAGUGCAUGUAUGUGCAAGCGUGGGCAGAUCCUUGCGCCUGGGUGUGUAUUGUGUGUGUGUGUUUGCAUGCGGGUUGGGGUGUCUGGCAUCCAAAGAUAAGAGUGCUGGGGACUUGGAACAAACUAAGCGUCAUUCCCAGCUCUCCCAGCUUACUUUCCCAUAGCCGCUCAGUCAGGGUCAGAGGGUUCUCAUCUGCUCUGGUGAAUACUAGUUUCCACCAGGGAAAGAACUGCACUUUAAAGGGGAAAUUUAGAGUUGCUACGUCCAUUUUUGGACUACAUAUUUACCCAUUGAUGCUUGAAGAAUAUAACUUUUGAAUGCCUUAGAAUGAGCUUAGUUCAACUAUCACACCACAUCAGAACCGAAAAUAUAAGCUUGUUUUACUCGGUUUAUAAAUAUUGUAAAUGUAAACAAACAUUAUUUUGCCUCAAAAACUAACUAUGUUAAAACUAUAAUUGUGAUAUCAUGGUCAGUCCUUGCAUCUAUAGCUCGGUCUAUGAAUUUGAGAGUGGUUACAUUUCUCCAAGCCCAUCCUUCAGCUUUUUCCAAAAGAGAGGCAGGGUGGUCACUUUGUUAAUGUUUCAACUGAAAAUUAGUUUCCAUUGUCCUUUGUCCUGAGGUUAACUACCUUAGUGGAAAGGUGGUACAAGAUCAUUGUGUGAAGAAUUGGGAAAACCAACCUGUAUGUUUAUGUAGUGACCAAUCUUGCCAAUCUGUUUUUGUACUUACUGGUAUAUCCAAAUGUGGUUUAUUUGUGCAAGUGUUCAGUUAUAUUCUGUUAUUGAUCAGUUAUAUAGUUGUAAAACAGUUUUACAGUUCAUAGAGUUUAAUCUUAGAUAGGACUGUGGGGACAACACGUUCUAUGUGCAAAUGUCACAAAGUAAACAGUUUAACUUCCUGUGUGUGAGUGGUCUGUCUGUCUGUCUGUCUGUCUGUCUGUCUGUCUGUCUGUCUGUCUGUCUGUCUGUCUGUCUGUCUGUCUGUCUGUCUGUCUGUCUGUCUGUCUGUCUGUCUGUCUGUCUGUCUGUCUGUCUGUCUGUCUGUCUGUCUGUCUGUCUGUCUGUCUGUCUGUGUGUCUGUGUGACGCACAUAGGGCUCUCACGAUAAUAGACCGUUAAUUAACAUAAACACAUUUAGCAUGUCCUGGCUUCGACACACUGAUGCAGACCUUUCGAACAUCUACAUUUUAAAAAGUCCAAUAACUCCAUGUAAUAUAGCCUACACCUUCACAAUAAAUCCAUUAUUUAUUUUAGACAGGUCUAAAGAAACAUGAUAUGAAGAAAAUGUAGUCUAUUUCAGAUCAGAAAAGCAUACUCUGAGUUAUCAUUAUGUUAGGUCCUCAUCUGGCUAUGCCAUAUGGCUGUGGGCUACACUAAUUAAUUUAGCAGACAAGAUUUACGUAGAAUUCCGUGGCAUUAUUUUAUAUUCUUUAAUAGUAUGAAGAAUACAAUUGAACAAAGAUGAAUAAAAUAGAAAGGAUAUUUUCUCCAAACGAUUUGAGGGAGUGCACACAUACUGUGUUGAGCGGUUAACAAAGAAAUAGGUAUUCCUAUAUGCUUAAUUUAGAGUUAUUCAUCAAACUUUAGUUGUUCUACAAACGUUGGGCUAUAUGUUUGAAUUUUUAAUACAUUGUAAGGCUGCAUGAUGCAACUUUAAUGAUGAUUUGAAAAAAGUUGCAUUAAAGGCAUGAACUCUGCUUUGUUUUUUGCACAGAGUGGCCUCACUUUUGCACAGCACUUGACUUGAAUUUCCCAGCGGCAUCCCCUUUGUGUGGCCGUAAUGCCCCAUAAAAAAAUGCAUGCCUUUUGCGGCCAGUGGCCAUUGUGAC